rnacentral:lncRNA from 1 species
UAUAUUAAUUUUCUUUAUUGCUUUUCUGUUCUCAAUUUUAUUGAUUUCUGCUUUGAUUUUUUAUUAUUUUUUCUUUUUGUUUUGAGCUUAUUUUGCUCUUCUGUUUCUACUUUUGUUAAUAGAAAUGUAGAUUAUCAACUUGAGACCUCUCAUUUUUAAUGUAAGCCUGCACUGCUAUCAGUUUUUCUCUAAUCGCUUCUUUAGUUCUAUCUGACAUAAUAUUUUGUAUCUUUUAAAUCAUUCACAUCUAUGUAUUUGUUUUUAAAUUAUUUGAGACUUCCUUUUUGACCCAUGGAUCAUUUAAAAAUACGUUAUUUCCCACAUGUUCUCAGAUUCCUCUUGUUUUGUUAUUUAUUUCUAGUUUGGUAUCACAAAAAAUACAUAACACAAUUUAAACUAUUUUUUUAAGUUUGUUGAGGCUUGAUUAAUGUCUACUUAUGUCUAUGAUCUAUCUUGAUGAGUAUUCCAUGAAGGUCUGAAAAAAAUUGUGUGUUCUGCUGUAAUUGAGCGGAGUGUUUUUAUGUGGCAGUUAGAUCUUCUUAGCUGAAUGUGCAUAUAUUCUAGAUAUUGCAGGUCAUUGCUGAUUUUCUAAUAAUUCUAUCAUUAUUAUCAGUGUUGGAGUCUGCAAUUACAGUAGUGAAUCUCUGCUUUCAACUCUUUAUCAGUUUUUGUUUCAUGUUAUUUUGCGAAUACGCUCUCGUGGUCGGUACAUAUUUAGAAUUUUUAUGUCUAGUUGAUUGAUUCUUUUAUCAUCAUUAGUAUAAAAGACACAAGGAUCAAAAACAUCUAAAUGAAACGUGGUUCGGACAAGAAGGCAUAGACCCAUUUCUUCUUGCUGUCUCUCACGAGACACAACCUUAAGCAUUAGAAGUAGUGAAAAGACAAAUAUAGAGGAGAACCCUGAAGGUAGUAAAAAUAAGAGAGCUUUCUUUGUACUAUCCUUGAGUGUUUCACUACGUAUUAAAUUUCCACAAUGCAUCACUAGAGCCUAUAUUGUAUCUGUGGACACUCUUUAAAUGUGGACAUUUAAGCAAAAGUUGAAAGAAUAAAUCUAGAAAUAAAAAUGAAUGUGAAAUUUGAUGAGAAGGAUUGGCUCCUGCUGCAAAUAAAUUUCUGUUCAUUAUACAUUACAGUCAGUGGUAUUCUAUUAUAGCAGCAUGAAAUGGUCUAAUACAUCUGAUCAAGAAUGGAGAAUCUCAGUCCUAUGAGGACAAAGAGGCUUCCAUGACCUACUAAGUUGCCUGGUAUUGUUCAGUCUCUCCUGCAGGCUCUUUGUCUUGUAGCCUAAGUAUCUCUUGGUAGAAAAAAGAAGUCUCAGGACAGGUGGGUGAGGAGAUGCACUCUCAUGUCUUAAGUUCAGCUGGUGCUAUGCUGGGGGCUACUGUUUGAUCUGGAGAAACAAUGGGCCUAUCUGGGCUGCCUUCUGCUACUAUGUCAUGGGGGAAAGAAGUACUGGAUAUGGAUGGCCUUCCUCUCAGGUGGGAGGACACAAGGCAUCUUGAUGUUGUGUUGUUGCUCAAAUCCUGGGUCCCCACACCAGCUCUUCUAUUUUUACCACCUGCAGAGUUCUCCUUUAUUUGCUUUUUGUACCAUUUGCAGUGCUUAAGGUUGUGCCUAGUGAGAGGGAGCAGGAAGAAAUGGGUCUAUGCCUUCUUAUUUGAGCUACAGCUUACUUAGAUGUUUUUGAUCCUUGUUUCUCCAAUAUUAAUGAUUAAUUUUUAAAACUUUACCCUAAAUUAAUCUGUAUUACCUUUUUUCCAUAAACUCCAUAAAGACAGAAUGUGUUUCAUUUUUAUAUAAUUAAACACCCUGCCUGCAGUUUACAAACAAAUGAUAUGUCAUUUAAGUUUCAUAAAUGGGAAAAAGGUUAAUCACAGACAGUUUAUUUCUUUAAAAAAUAACACAAAUUUCUUAUUUCUGUAUUUGUCAUAAGUUCAACCUUUUUGCAUUAUCUUGAUCAGUGUAAAAUGCUUGGAUGGUCAGUGUUGUUUGACUUGUGUCUGUAUUUGGUUAGGAUCCAUUUAAACUCUCUAGGAUAAUGUCAAAAUCAAUUUCUUCCUUUAUACUUUCUUAUUUUCAAAGAAAUGGUGCUAAAUAUUUCUAUGAAUAUAUGGAAAUAUCUAUGCGAAUAUGUAUCUGACUAAAAAUGUUGCAGGCAUCUUUUCUGUUUUUUUAACCCUUUGUAAUAUUUUUAUUUUGUUUAUUUAGUGAUAUAAGGGAAAAUUGUGAGCAUUUAACUACAUAAUCUUUAUGUUUCCACCAAACUCAAUUUUUUAGUUCUUAGUAUAUGGCCUAUAAUCUAACUUUAAUUUAUCCCUUUUAUAUUAGCUUAUUUUCUUGUUAACAACAAGGAUAUCUCUUCUGGAGUAUCUCAAGUCAAGGUAGAAAAAGUAGUCAACAGGAAAAUGAACAGAACAGUUUUGGAUAUGUAUGAGAAUUUAAAGCAAAUGUUUCUAAAUGAGAAAUUGUAACUCAGGAAAUAUUUGGCACAUUCUAUCAAAAUUUUGUGAAUUUUGAUAAUAAAACAUUCACAAUUCAAUUAGGAGUAAAGGAAGAAAAUAUAAGCUAUAUCUAUCAAUAAAAGAUUUUUUUCCAUUUUUGUUUCAUCUAGCAAUAUUCUUUUCCCUCCAUAAGGAAUCUGUUAAAAACUCUCUUCUUACUAUCCUUCAGUCUUUUAAAAUGUGUUAAAUUCCCACAGUGCAUUAUUAGAGCCUAUAUCUGUGGACACUCUUUAUGUGUUGGUAUUUGAGCAAAAGUAGAAAGAAUAAAUCCAGAAAUAAAAAUGAAUGGGAAAUUUGACAGGAGAGAUUGCUUUCUACUGCCAAAUAUAUAACUAUACUUCAUCUAGUCUAUCACUCAAGGAGGUUUCAGAAUGAAGAAUCAUUUCCAAAAUGCCAUCCUACUUUCAUCUUUUCCCAAGGAGGUUCAGAAUAACCUGCAAGUGGAUCACUGAACAAAGAAAGUACAAAACCACAAAUAGUCCCUCUAAGGUCCUUUAAAACACAAACUUGGAACAUUUUUAUGACAUUUCAAAAUGACUUGUGAUCCUGAUACUACUAUUUAAAGAUAUAGCUUGAAUCAAAUAAAAUAAAUUAUAGGUCAUCUGUCUAAGGAUGGAACAUUUUGUUUUGUUUUUUUCCCCAUUUGACUUCUUAAAAUUAAUUAU